AUUGCCCCAGUAACGGCGAGUGAAGCGGCAACAGCUCAAAUUUGAAAUCUGGCCUCGCGGCCCGAGUUGUAAUUUGCAGAGGAUGCUUCUGGCGCGGUGCCCACCGAGUUCCCUGGAACGGGACGCCAUAGAGGGUGAGAGCCCCGUCUGGUGGGACACCAAGCCUGUGUGAAGCUCCUUCAACGAGUCGAGUAGUUUGGGAAUGCUGCUCUAAAUGGGAGGUAAAUCUCUUCUAAAGCUAAAUACCGGCCAGAGACCGAUAGCGCACAAGUAGAGUGAUCGAAAGAUGAAAAGCACCUUGAAAAGGGGGUUAAACAGUACGUGAAAUUGUUGAAAGGGAAGCGCUUGUGACCAGACAUGCGCCCGGCGGCUCAUCCGGCGUUCGCGCCGGUGCACUCCGCCGGGCUGCAGGCCAGCAUCGGUUCUCGUGGGGGGACAAGAACGGUAGGAAUGUGGCUCCCUUCGGGGAGUGUUAUAGCCUGCCGUACGAUACCCUCGUGGGGACCGAGGCCCGCGCAUCUUGCAAGGAUGCUGGCAUAAUGGUUACUAGCGACCCGUCUUGAAACACGGACCAAGGAGUCGUCCAUUAGAGCGAGCGUUUGGGUGUCAAACCCGCACGCGUAAUGAAAGUGAAACUU
rnacentral:rRNA from 1 species